UCAUUGCUGGAACAAACGCCCUCACGGGUGCUACCCAGAAACCCUUUGUGAACUAUACCAAACUGUUGCCUCGGCAUAAGCUGAAUCUUUCUUAACAGGAUUCCCUUUUUUCUUCGGGGAAAGGAGCAGGCUGGCCGGUGGCCCUAUAAACUCUUGUUUUUACAAUGUUACUCUGAGUACAACAACUAUAAAUGAAUCAAAACUUUCAACAACGGAUCUCUUGGUUCUGGCAUCGAUGAAGAACGCAGCGAAAUGCGAUAAGUAAUGUGAAUUGCAGAAUUCAGUGAAUCAUCGAAUCUUUGAACGCACAUUGCGCCCGCUGGUAUUCCAGCGGGCAUGCCUGUUCGAGCGUCAUUUCAACCCUCAAAGCCUAGUCUUUGGUGUUGGGGCUCUACCUGUUACAGGGUAGGCCCUGAAAUUUAGUGGCGGGCUCGCUAGAAUUUUGAGCGUAGUAAUUAUACCUCGUUUUUAAAGACUAGUGGGACUUCUAGCCAUAAAACCCCCCUUAUUUCUGA
rnacentral:rRNA from 1 species